UGGCAGCUGUAGCUCCAAUUCAACCCCUAGCCUGGGAACCUCCAUAUACUGAGGGUGUGGCCCUAAAAAGCAAAAAACAAAACAAAACAAACCCCUAAAAACACACUUCUUCCUUCUGGGAAGUAGCUUUCUCCAGAAUGCUUGCCGCCUUGGCUUUUUUCUCUACUCACUACUCCUCCAGGGCCGCUGCCUUUUUUCCUAUGGAAAGAUUUUUUUUUUUUUCCUUUUGGCUGCACCUACAGCAUGCAGAAGUUCCAGGGCCAGGGAUUGAACCUGUGUCAUGGCUGCGACCUGAGGCACAGGAAUGACAACAUCGGAUCCUUAACCUGCUGCACCACCAAGGAAUUCCUCCUAUGGAGAGAAAUGUCUGCACCCUUGAAAUUGCAGGGGAAGCUAAGGCUUGUUCAGCCUGUAGGAAGGAGGUGAUCCAGCAUGAAGGGACGGAGAACACCUGCUGCCAGCAAGCUUUUCUCAUUUAAACUGGUGGUAAUCUGGUGGGUUUCUGAUCCAGGAUCCAAAUGCCUGCUUCCGGAGUGCGCGCCAGGCCUCCUGGUAAGUGGCUGCAGCCUCUUUGUAUUCUUGGUACGUCGUUAGCUUCUGCACCCUAAUGCACACACACGACCAAAUACAGGUCUCACUGGAAAGCUCACCACCAUUGCCAGCAGGACACCUGAGCAAUCGACUGGACAGAUUUAUUACAAGAGACUUAGGAACAGAAGGAUACUGUUAUGCUGUCCUACAGCGACUCUUAUUUCCUCUGUAAGGAAUUCACCAGAAAACAACAUGGAUUAAAAUAGACCCCGAACUCUGAGCCACCCUUGGCCUGAGCCACCAUGAGCACGUCUAAGAACCUCUUCCUCACGGCCCCUCCUGAGAGUCAACAUUUCCUGUUCAACUGUCAUCGAAGCACCCGCUCAUCCAUCCCGUUCUCAUUCCUGGUUCUAACUUAACCUCUCCGUGUAUAUACCUCUGCUCCUGCUAUUAGAGAGGCUUACAGAUCUUGAGACUGUGGCACUCCUGCAAGUGCAUGAGUCCUCCUCUUCCUAUUGUCACAGGCCCCUUCUCUUACUGCAAUAAUCCUUUGUUUAUUAUUUAUUUAUAUUUUGUGUCUGCACUCAUGGUAUAGAGAAGUUCCCAUGCCAGGGACUAAAUCCGAGCCAUAGCUGUGGCAAUGGAAGUUCCUUUAAGUUCCUUUAACCCACUGCACCGGGCUGGGGAUUGAACCCGUGCCUCCGCAGUGACCCAGGCUGCUGCAGUCAGAAUCUUAACCCACUGUGCCAUGGCAGGAACUCCGCAAUAACCCUUUCAAAUGAAGUCUCUCCUUACCUAAGUCCAGAUAUGUUUUGCACACACACAAUGUAUGGAAACCCAUGCAGUUCCAGUCUGAUACAUUUUUCAGACAGGAAACAAGAAAACUGACCACAGAUGACUGGAGGGCAUCAAUACACAGGACACAUGAUGGUGAGAACAGGUGACUAGCCUCUUCAAAAAGAAGUGUCUAUACUCUUUUGCUUCCCAAAACUGUUGUAUAAAAAAGAAUUUGGCUGGUCUCCUGGUCUUUGUUGCCAGUUCCUGGGAGGUGACUUAUACCACCCUUAGAAUUUUCCUAAUAAGAGGAAUAUCUUUGUUAUUCAUGGUGAACCCCUCAGAUCACACUCAAGUUUAUGCUUAAUGAAGUGACUCGUGGUGGGCCCUGCACAAUUUCAGGCCAGGCUGGCCAGGCCGGAAAGACCAAUUAUGAGGUUAGAGAGCUGGGGCUUUGGGCCAUCUGUUUCGUGUGACCUCCUGGGGUGGGAAGACUUGGGCGGUGGAGAUAGAGUUCAAUCACACACGUGGCCAAUGAUUCUACUGGUCAUGUGUACGGAUGAAACCCCAAACUCUGGACGCAGAAGCUCGGGUCAGUGUCCUGUUGGUGACAGUGAUGUGCUGGGAGGGUGAUGCAUCCUGAGGACACCAAAGUGUCGGGUUUGGGCCCCUCCCAGGUCUUGCCCUGUGUGUCCCUCCUUUUAUCUGGCCCUAAUUUGCAUCUUUCACAGUAAAAGGUAAGGCGUUCCCGUCGUGGCUCAGCGGUUAACGAACCCGACUAGCAUCCAGGAGGACACACGUUUGAUCCCUGGCCUUGCUCAGUGGGUUAAGGAUCCAGCGUUGCCAUGAGCUGUGAUGUAGGCUGC